AAUCCUUUUUAAUAGUAGUCAAACGGAAAAUAGUAGUAAUUCAUCAUGAUAACGGAUAGAGAGUAUAUCUUGCUCAGCACCUAAGAGAAUGCCAAACACAUCAAGGGAAAUGAUGGCAAAGCAACUUUGAUCAGCAUAAGCUUCGAAGGCACACAGGAUGAAGAGAUUGCAUUGCUCAACAUAAAUAAGACGGCGUUGUUUUAGUAAGAUCGUGAUACCAAGGGAUCAAACAAAAUCGAUAAUUGUUAGAUGUAGGAGACCAAACUUCAUAUGGAAAAAUUUUUACUUUAUAUGAAAAUGGAAUUGCAAUGACAAAGAGGAGGGCGUCUUCGGAAACGUGGGAAAAGGAAAAUUUUUAAAUAGCAAAUUUCAAAUGUCUGUCAAGUGAAAACGUGCACGGACAAAAGAGGAUGAAGAGAAUAAAAAAAGGAAGAAAAAGUAGUAAAGAUCCGUCGUUUGAAAUUAAGUCCAAAACCACUAAUGCCAAAUUAAGCAUCGGAAUGCGGCCAAUCCUCUCAUUCAAAAAUAAUACGAAAAGUUGUGUAUAAUUUCCAGGCUUUUGCAAAGUAAUGAAGACGAUGACCGAAACCAAUGUGUAAUUAUAAAAACUUUUAUAAUAAGAAAAAGAUGUACUGAAAAAUGAAUAAAAGGAAAAAUAAACGUUACAAAUUUAACGGUUGGCUGAAGAAUCACGAGUUGCACAUGCGACUAUACGAAUUUUGUUGCUAGUAACAGUUUCGUUAUCAAAUCGAAAGCUAGGAUUUUUUAUGAUAAACGUCCAAACCUCGUCGCAAAACCGAUAUGUAUCCAAAUGACCCUUGAAUGUUAAACGAGAGCGGACCUUCUCC